rnacentral:tRNA from 1 species
GCCGGCCUAGCUCAAUUGGUAGAGCAACUGACUUGUAAUCAGUAGGUUGGGGAUUCAAGUCCUCUGGCCGGCACCA